UACGGAGGGUGCAAGCGUUGCUCGGAUUUAUUGGGCGUAAAGGGUAGGUAGGUGGUCUUAUUUGUCUAGGGUGAAAUCCUUGAGCUUAACUCGAGAAGUGCCCUAGAAACGGUAAGACUAGAGUCCUGGAGAGGGUCGUGGAAUUCCCGGUGUAGCGGUGAAAUGCGUAGAGAUCGGGAGGAACACCAGAGGCGAAGGCGGCAUCCUGGACCGGUAUUGACGCUGAGGCGCGAAAGCCAGGGGAGCAAACGGG
rnacentral:rRNA from 1 species